GAGGGGACGGGACGGGAGCGGUGUGGGGACUGGGACGGCAAAGGGGCCCGGGUGGAGACCGCACGGAACGGCCAUGGGGACAGGGUCGCGGUCCGGCACAGGGGAUGAGGAUGAGGACCGGGACCCGCUGUCCCCUCAGCCCGGCGGCCGCUGAGGCGCAGCCUGGGGUCCCCUCACGGAACAGCAUUCGGGGCCACCUCUGCUCCGCCCACGCUAGAAACGGGCAGUUUCGGGGUGUUUUCCGUGUUUACUUUAUUUUUUCUCUCUGUUUUUCCCCUUCCCUUCCCUGGGCUCGGAGCGCAGCUGGCGGGGCCGGUACCGGCAGCCGGGGGGGCCGGCCAGAGCCGAGCACGGAGCCCACCCCUGAAAAAAGCCUGGAAAGUACUUCUUCUCAUGGUUUUUCUACUGCUUCCUUCCCUCAAAGAAACGUGAGGGAGGCCGGUGCGGGUGCCGAGGCUGCCGCAGGUGCCGGAGCAGCUCCCGCUGUCACCGUGUUUUCCAAACCCAUCAGCCCUGCUGAAGGACUCCUGGUAAACGCGUUGCUGGCUGCUCAUGAAUCCCAGAAACUGCUUUGCAUAACAGUUUUAUUUUCAUGGAGUAAUCUUCCCUGUUAGCUGUGUUUUCAGACUCUUUGGCAAUCAGUACUUAAUACCUACGCUGUUUUGCAAACUGGCUUUUUCAAGGCGUUACCGACUUAGCUGCUGUGGAUGGGUGCCCUGUACUCUGCAUAGGCUGUUGUGCUUUAGGGCAAAGUGGACAAGAAAUUGGGGAAAAGCAGCUUCAGGAUCUUAGGAAAGUUUAUCACCAAUACAGUAUUUCAGUGGUUUUUAAAAACUUUUCCUUCCCCUUUAAUUGAAAAAAGAUCCAGAUCAUUUUAGUAUCGGAUCUUGCUGUAAAAUGUAUUUACAUUUAUAUUUAAAUUUACGUAACUCUUUGAAGAAUAACCACCAGCCAAGCCUCUGAUACAUUGCCACUGCAAGAAAAAACUUGUGCCCGAGAAAGUUUUCAAUAUUCAUCAGUAAUGCAUUUAUAAAAGAGAGCUCCUUGCAACAAUGUAAAUAUAGGAGGAAAUAAAUCUAAAUAAAUCCUUUGCAUUUGCCACCCAGUCUUAAAACAGUCUACUUUUUAAUUCAGCUUCAUAACUAGCUGGGAGUGCAGUUGUGCUGUCACUGAGGAGAGUGUGGGUGGUCCCAGCCUCAACCCAGGAGAUGCCAUUUCAGGAUAAAACCCUCCUGUGGAACUUGCCAUAGGCCAUCUCUGCUGUCCCUGCUGCCAGCCUGACACCUUUCCUAGUGCUGGGACUUGUAUUUUCCAUGAGCACUGUGCAAGGAACAGGGAUCAAAGAAAGCUGAAACCAUGUUUUAGGAUCCAACUCACUUGGUGUCAUUCAGUCCAGGUUGUUGAAAUGGAGUAAGUCCUUUUACUUUUGAGGCCAGUUUUCUUUGGUUCCUAGUGAGCUUUAUCUUACUGGUCUUUUUUUUUUCUGUUAGAAAAUAGAAAACUUUUCUUCAAAAUAAAUAAUUAGAAAAAGCAGUGGAAGAUAGAAUUAUCAAUGUAUGCAUAUUUUUAGAUAUAAACACAUAUCCUCUGAAGUUCAAUUUGGAGAAGACAGAAAUUUGGUUUAUUUUUCACAUAAGCUUUUUUUGAGUGCAUCCAUUCUGACAGUAUUUUUUUUUAUAACGUGCUAAAAAAAAAAUUGUGUGGCACUGACUGAGUUAUUGGAGGAUAUGUUCAGUGACAGACCCCAUUCUUAUCACUCUCUGUCUCUGCUGAUUUAAAGUUCCAGAUUAGAUAUACUAAGAGGCACAGGCUGCUGUGAAAAGGUGGCAACUGCCCUGUAGGAACAGUCCAGAAAGCAGCUUGGGAGGACCAUGGGAGCAGGGGAAUCCCAAUGGAUAAAACACAACAUGGAGACAUGCCCUUGCACCCACUGCUUUUAAUGAUCUUGGUACUUUAACCCUUUUAGCCUCCAUAUUAAGGAGGUUUUAGUCUAUUUUGUGGGCUGGUCAAGUGUAUUGCAUAAACCUUCAGUGGAGGUGCCAGACGCUGGACAAGGAGCCAGCAGCUCUGGGAUGGGGGUGGCUGCCAAGCACUGCCCUAUUCAAGCAGAGCCUGCAAGCUUGGAACAACUCCCCUGUUUCCAUGUGCUGUCCCCUCCAAGCUCUUUCGAGGUCCUUGUUACCAGAUAGAAAGAUGAAGACUUUCAAAAUUUGGUCCAAAACAAAUGGGACCCCAAGGGCUCAUUAACUAUGGAAAUUCUGCUCAAGGUGAGAAUCAUAUCAACUUGCGUAAGGGAUGAGAUCCUAAAUCCAAACAGCCUAAAAAAAAAAAUUAACUUGACUUUAGAGCCACUUCUGUUGUAACAUCCUAGGAGGCAGAGAAUGGCCCAGGAACUGGUUACAGAUUACCUGGGAAGAAAGAGACUUCUUGUAGCUUUCACUGACAUGGUUCAAUACAGUAUUAAAGGAUAAUUUAACAAUAAGAUUAUUGUUAUUAUCUCUUAUUAUUUUAAGAUUAUUAUAUUCUUACUACUGUGAGAGGAACUCAGUAUCUAUCUACACGAGACAUCUCUUUCUCUUUCCUUGCUGUGCAUUACUUCAGUGGAAGCUGCAGUUUUGCCUUCCAACCUCUGCUCUCGAACACAUCAUUCACAACCCCACAGGAUGAGCUGACAGCCAGGCUGGGACUGGGCACUGGGCAGGGCACAGAACCAGAUGUGUUACAUGCUGACUACUGCCAUGCAUUUCCAGCAUUGUCCAGACUUCCUACAUUCCUGGAUCCAGUGGGAUUUCAUGGCAAGACGAGAGCUUGCAGUGCUAGACUUCUGCCCAAAGAGAAUGGGAGCAGGGGGUGAUAUGGAGUCUGGGGAGAGAAAAGCAACAGUGGAUGUUGGAAAUGUAAAAAAUACCAAAGGCAUAAUGGGGAAGCACAAGAGAGUGACAAAGAAAAGGAAUUCCCACUAAGCAUCAUGAGACUAGACAGGAUUCAGAUCCUCAAAAGCCUAACAGUGAUAUUUCUAGGGACUCAUUAUAAUGAUAAAAUUUUCAAAAACCCUCCAAUGAAUGCAGCAAUAUCAAAUCCAAUUCCACUUGUAUAUUUUUUAGGAUUUUGAAAUAUUUCAAAUCUGAAAAUAGCAAUUUCUCACUGGAUGUUUAGAAAGCCCACCCUGCCAAGGACCUUGUGUGCAAGGAAUGCCUGUACAGAAGCCCUAACACAUCGUGUCUCCCUACCCUUCAGUCAGGAUUCUGUAAAGGAUGCUGGCUCACAGGGCUUCCCCCUGUUCCGUGAAGCUAGGAGCCAUGCCCUGGUCCUUGAAGAAUCCAAGCUCCUUGCCAAAAAACAGGGAUUUGAAAACCUGGUGCCACUCAGGGCUGCUAGGCUCCCUGCCAUGAAGCAGAGAUCUGAGCAGGGCGCUGAAAGGUGUGGCACAGAUUCUGGCAGAGUUGGGAACUCUCAAACCCUCACUUGCUCCAGGCCUCAUGGAGACUUGGUAGCCAAAAAGCCCUGAAGCUCUGGCUCGCCCAUGAGCUGCACGCUUGGAAUCACAACUGCAGCUUGGUUUCUACAUUUUCAAAACAAAACUAUUCUAAUUAUUUGAAACUUACACUGCUACUUUUUUCUUUCUCUUCUGCUUUCACAGGAAAUUCAGAAAAUCAAUUUCCAUUCUAUGUUCAAGUUCACUCCCAUUUCUGGGAACUGGUAUUUCAUGAAUACAGAAAUCUCAAUUUGCAAUCAGCUCCACUCAUAAUGGCUAGUCAGAAUACAGGAAAAACCAUUACAAUUAACAUGUAAGAGUAAUAAGGACAUAAUAGAAUACAUUCAGCAGGGAAUUGCCUCCCCGACCCUGCAGCCCAACAUCCCAGCAGGCUUCUCAAACAGUUCGUUCACCCCUGAGCAACAAAACAACAGGAGGCCUUUCUCAAUGGAAGUGCCAGACAGAUUGCAGCAACAGGAGCAAUGUUUUUAUUGUCUUAGCACACUGGACCUUUACAAAUUUUUGAACUCCCUCAGAAGCAGCAAUCAUGGGAAAGUAACAGAAGUGAAGUGGUUUAGCCUCUGCCACAAACAAGGCAGUGGUAGACCUGGGAUUAGAUAGCAACAGUAGUUCUUAGUCUUGGUAAACAAUAAAGCAAACUCUUUCUAAGCAGCCAUUAAUGUCUGGUUAUUAGGCUGAAGAGUAGCAAGUUUUGAUUUUCAAGUAGCAAGCAUGAAAAUUCCCCUGGAAUUCCUCCAGAGUCCUCUAAUGAACAAUGAUCUCAACUUUAAUCUUACUUCAUAAUUAUCCAUGGGUAACAUUUCAACGUGGACUCCUUAAGCACAUGUAAUUUCUAGAGCAAGUAAUAUUCAAACUAAUUCAUUUCUCCUUUGAUCCACAAAA